GGUACCAUGGCCGAGUUGGUUUAAGGCGAUCCGCUUAAGACGGAUUGGACACACGUCCACGGAGGUUCGAAUCCUUCUGGUACUA
rnacentral:tRNA from 2 species